rnacentral:rRNA from 1 species
AUUGAACGCUGGCGGCAGGCCUAACACAUGCAAGUCGAACGGUAACAGGAAACAGCUUGCUGUUUCGCUGACGAGUGGCGGACGGGUGAGUAAUGUCUGGGAAACUGCCUGAUGGAGGGGGAUAACUACUGGAAACGGUAGCUAAUACCGCAUAACGUCGCAAGACCAAAGAGGGGGACCCUCGGGCCUCUUGCCAUCGGAUGUGCCCAGAUGGGAUUAGCUUGUUGGUGGGGUAACGGCUCACCAAGGCGACGAUCCCUAGCUGGUCUGAGAGGAUGACCAGCCACACUGGAACUGAGACACGGUCCAGACUCCUACGGGAGGCAGCAGUGGGGAAUAUUGCACAAUGGGCGCAAGCCUGAUGCAGCCAUGCCGCGUGUAUGAAGAAGGCCUUCGGGUUGCAAAGUACUUUCAGCGGGGAGGAAGGGAGUAAAGUUAAUACCUUUGCUCAUUGACGUUACCCGCAGAAGAAGCACCGGCUAACUCCGUG